UGGGGAAUCUUGCACAAUGGGCGAAAGCCUGAUGCAGCGACGCCGCGUGGGGGAUGAAGCAUCUCGGUGUGUAAACCCCUUUCGAUUCGGACGAAUGCCCGCAAGGGAGUGACGGUACGGAUAUAAGAAGCCCCGGCUAACUACGUGCCAGCAGCCGCGGUAAGACGUAGGGGGCCAGCGUUGUUCGGAAUUACUGGGUGUAAAGGGUUCGUAGGCGGUGCGGCAAGUUGGGAGUGAAAUCUCUGGGCUUAACCCAGAGGCUGCUUCCAAAACUGCUGUGGUCGAGUGUGGGAGAGGCGCGUGGAAUUGCAGGUGUAGCGGUGAAAUGCGUAGAUGUCUGCAGGAACACCCGUGGCGAAAGCGGCGCGCUGGACCACUACUGACGCUGAGGAACGAAAGCUAGGGGAGCAAACAGG
rnacentral:rRNA from 1 species